GUGUAUCGCAGCUCUCGCUGUGGGAUCUGAAGCUUUGGAGACGGUCACUCGGGGUCCUUCAGCCUUGCUCCAGCCGCGGGACUGAGGUACACAACCACUUCUGAAGACACUGCGAACUUCUCUCCUUUUCCAAGCCUGCUCACUAGAAGAUCAAGGAGAUAAUUAGCAUGCGGGCUCUGAUUACAGACCAUGAAUCCUCAGUACUCGGGUGCCACUCACGGACAGAUGCAAACCGAGCUCCUUCGUCAAGCUGCCGUCUUUCCACUGUCAGUGAGCAGCCCUGGGAGGGGCAGGGGGAAAACCACUCGUUUGUCAGACUCCAUGAACUCUGGCCCGCAGCCCACGCGGCACUGGGAAUUCUGGUUGCCAGAUGGGAAACCACGUGACAGUUCUCCUUGAAACGUGUCACCCUGGGGACAGAGGAAAAUCUAAUGGUAAACAUCUUUAUUUUCUGAGACAGGCCCAAGAACCUGGCUCCACAGGUCCACCUUCCCAUCCUUGCUCUACCCCCACCAAAAAAAAAAAAAAAAA